rnacentral:misc_RNA from 1 species
AAUUCUCAACCUCACCAGUUUUCUGAGGAGGCUUGGAUGUGGGGGUUUGUGCAGGCUGCCGCAGCGCGGUCUGCUCCCCUGAAAUGCAUUAGCGAGUUCAUACUGAGCUCCGUCUAUUGGUGUGAUAAUUAUCUACGCCGUGGAUUGGGCUUAGACUUGCUUCUAACCGUCCGCAAGGACAACUCUUUGACA